UGGGGAAUCUUGGACAAUGUGGGCAACCCUGAUCCAGCGACGCCGCGUGGGUGGUAAGGCCUUCGGGUUGUAAAGCCCUUUCACCGGGGCAGAUGAUGACAUUACCCGGAGAAGAAGCGCCGGCUAACUCCGAGCCAGCAGCCGCGGUAAGACGGAGGGCGCUAGCGUUGAUCGGAAUCACAGGGCGUAAAGGGCGCGUAGGCGGCUGUUUAAGCCGAGGGUGAAAGCCCGGGGCUCAACCCCGGAACGGCCUUCGAGGCUGGGCAGCUCGAGACCGGAAGAGGAGGGUGGAAUACCCAGUGUAGAGGUGAAAUUCGUAGAUAUUGGGUGGAACACCAGUGGCGAAAGCGGCUCUCUGGUCCGGAUCUGACGCUGAGGCGCGAAAGCGUGGGGAGCAAACAGGAUUAGAUACCCGUGUAGUCC
rnacentral:rRNA from 1 species